GACAGAGGUUGCAAACGUUAUUCGGAAUUACUGGGCAUAAAGCGCACGUAGGCGGUCCGUUAAGUCAUGUGUGAAAUCCCCCGGCUCAACCGGGGAAUUGCGCCUGAUACUGGCGGGCUAGAGAUCGAUAGGGGUGAGUGGAACUCCAGGUGGAGCGGUGAAAUGCGUAGAUAUCUGGAGGAACACCGGUGGCGAAAGCGGCUCACUGGAUCGAUACUGACGCUGAGGUGCGAAAGCUAGGGUAGCAAACGGG
rnacentral:rRNA from 1 species